GAUGAACGCUAGCGGCAGGCUUAACACAUGCAAGUCGAGGGGCAGCAUGAACCGACCUUCGGGAAGGUUUGAUGGCGACCGGCGCAAGGGUGCGUAACGCGUGAGCAACUUGCCCGUUUCUGGGGAAUAACCGGUGGAAACGCCGACUAAUACCCCAUAGCAUCAACUUAGGGCAUCCUUAGUUGAUUAAAGAAUUUCGGAAACGGAUAGGCUCGCGUGACAUUAGCUAGAUGGCGGGGUAACGGCCCACCAUUGGCUACGAUGUCUAGGGGGUUCUGAGAGGAAGGUUCCCCCCACACUGGAACUGAGACACGG
rnacentral:rRNA from 1 species